rnacentral:rRNA from 1 species
GACGAGGGAUCCUAGCGUUGUUCGGAAUCAUUGGGCGUAAAGCGGGUGUAGGUGGCUAUGUAAGUCAGGUGUGAAAGCCUAGGGCUCAACCCUAGAAGUGCAUCUGAUACUGCGUAGCUUGAGUGGUAGAGAGGAUAGUAGAAUUCCUGGUGUAGUGGUGAAAUACGUAGAUAUCAGGAGGAAUACCGGAGGCGAAGGCGGCUAUCUGGCUACACACUGACACUCAGACCCGAAAGCGUGGGGAUCAAACAGG